CAGCCGGUCGGAUUCAUCUUCCCAGUCCCUCAAAACUAGCGCUGUUACUGUAGGAUCUGGACAGAGAGGCUGAGGAUCAGAAUCACAUUUUCUCCCACCGGCAGUUUGUUGAGAGCAGGGACGGCUCAGGAACAACCCUGAGUGACAGAAAGUGUUGGCCACUGGGUGUCACUAGUGUUCCACAGGAAAGUAACCCAAAGGCAUUGGUAUGGCACCCCAAAAUGAGCCACCUUCUGGAAUGUGCUAGCGGGGAUAGAAAUAGUUGCAGUAUAUCCGCUGGAAAAGAAAAAGAAUGAAAGAAAAUAUAAAUCUUUAGGCUGCUGAUGAUAAAGAACAAUCUUUAUUUGUUCCUCUCAUCAGCAUAAGGACUGUACCAGAUGUUUCAGACUGUGUAUUUCCCUCUCUCCACCACCGUCAAACCUCCUGGACUGCUUACCAUGCUCUAUUGCAGACCCAAGAAGUACUGUAGUGAUGGACAAGAAUGGAGGUUUGCAUCAUCUUGUUAUAUCGUUGUCAUUUCCAGCUACCUAUUAGGUUUAUUUCUUCAGGAUUAUUUUUCUGGAAAUGCAGUUAUUACAAGGUCCCUGCCACUCCAAGGAGUGAGAGACCAGAGCUGGUAACAGCAUGUGUAACCAUUCAUUUUGACUGACGCAAGCCACACUGGAGGUGGGUAUGACUGAGAUCUGCUCCCAUCUGAAAGCUGUUCAAGGUGGUCUGUGUGAAAUGUGGGGCUGAGGUUCUUAGCCCACCCUUAGUUAAUGUGUGCGCAUAUCACCAAACUCACCAUCAUGUUGGUAUGCGCUGGUUCUUUCAUUGGCUAUGACCCUGCAGACUGAAUGAGCUGUGGAGGCUGAGCCCUUCCCCUCACAUGUGGGAAGGGAAUCCUUCCAGGUCAGGCCAGAGCUAAGCCACAUUUACAGAACAGCAGCAUGGGGAGCUGCAGGGAGGACAGGACUUUCUCUCCCGUUACCUAUUAGGGUUGCCAGCCCUCCUGAAUUGGCUGUGAGUCUACCAGAAUUGGCAUUGAUCUCCCAGUUACUACUGAAAGCAGUCCAGAAGAGUUUAAUAAGAUAUUUUGACACUGCAUUACGUCAUGUUGGGGGAAAAUACCUCUCGGAAUAGCUUCAGUCAGAGUUGGGAACCCUAUUAUAUAUGAUUCUGUUGUGCUGUGGAUGAAAA
rnacentral:lncRNA from 1 species